UGCCUGGUCUUCUGGAGCUGAGGACUCGGGAAACCAUGCAAUUGAGGCAAGCCUUGGGCUGCUUUAGAGGCGCUGACAUCCGAGGAGCCUUCUCCUGG
ensembl:misc_RNA